GAUGAAGAACGUAGUGAAAUGCGAUAAAUAAUGUGAAUUGCAGAAUUCAGUGAAUCAUCGAGUCUUUGAACGCACAUUGCGCCCCCUGGUAUUCCGGGGGGCAUGCCUGUCCGAGCGUCAUUGCUGCCCUCAAGCACGGCUUGUGUGUUGGGCCCCGCCCCCCGGCUCCCGGGGGGCGGGCCCGAAAGGCAGCGGCGGCACCGCGUCCGGUCCUCGAGCGUAUGGGGCUUCGUCACCCGCUCCGUAGGCCCGGCCGGCGCCCGCCGGCGACCCCCCUCAAUCUUUUCAGGUUGACCUCGGAUCAGGUAGGGAUACCCGCUGAACUUAAGCAUAUCAAUAAGCGGAGGA
rnacentral:misc_RNA from 1 species